rnacentral:rRNA from 1 species
GUGAAAUUGUUGAAAGGGAAGCGCUUGCAACCAGACCUGCCUGCAGUUGCUCAUCCGUGGCUUUUGCCCGGUGCACUCUUCUGCUGUCAGGCCAGCAUCAGUUCGGGCGGUCGGAUAAAGGCUUCGGGAAUGUAGCUCCUCUCGGGGAGUGUUAUAGCCCGUUGCGAAAUGCGGCCAGCCUGGACUGAGGUCCGCGCUUCGGCUAGGAUGCUGGCGUAAUGGUUGUAAGCGGCCCGUCUUGAAACACGGACCAAGGAGUCUAACAUCUGUGCGAGUGUUUGGGUGUUAAACCCGUACGCGUAAUGAAAGUGAACGGAGGCGGGAACCCCUCGGGGUGCACCGUCGACCGAUCCUGAUGUCUUCGGAUGGAUUUGAGUAAGAGCAUAGCUGUUGGGACCCGAAAGAUGGUGAACUAUGCCUGAAUAGGGUGAAGCCAGAGGAAACUCUGGUGGAGGCUCGCAGCGGUUCUGACGUGCAAAUCGAUCGUCAAAUUUGGGCAUAGGGGCGAAAGACUAAUCGAACUAUCUAGUAGCUGGUUCCUGCCGAAGUUUCCCUCAGGAUAGCAGUAACGUUUUCAGUUUUAUGAGGUAAAGCGAAUGAUUAGAGGCCUGGGGGUUGAAACAACCUUCACCUAUUCUCAAACUUUAAAUAUGUAAGAAGUCCUUGUUGCUCAGUUGAACGUGGACAUUUGAAUGUAUCGUUACUAGUGGGCCAUUUUUGGUAAGCAGAACUGGCGAUGCGGGAUGAACCGAACGCGGAGUUAAGGUGCCGGAAUGCACGCUCAUCAGACACCACAAAAGGU